rnacentral:pre_miRNA from 1 species
AACAAUAUCCUGAUGCUGAACGAGUGUGUUGGGAAAAGCUCCAGCAUCAGUGAUUUUGUUGC